GCAAAAAACGCAAUGCUGCCAAAGAAGCAUGGGAGUCAAUCAUUAAGGAACUGGACCUUGGGCAACAUGUGUCUCACAAACAGGCCUCCAAGAAAUGGGAGAACCUAAAAAAGAAAUACAAGGAACUUAAAAGGCCAAGGACUGGAACAGGGACUGAUCAGGGGGAAGAAACCCCUGCAACAUGGCCCUUCUUCAUGGCCAUGGAUGAGGCCAUAGGUGCAAGGCCUUCAAUUAGUCCUCCUGUCCUUGUUGCCUCAGCCUUGGCAAACCCCACAAUCCUCUUUGAUCCGGA